GAAGGUGGCAAGCGUUAUUCGGAUUUACUGGGCAUACAGGGAGCGUAGGCGGUUCGGUAAGCCCUCUGUGAAAUCUUCAGGCUUAACCUGGAAAAGUCGGAGGGGACUGCUGGGCUAGAGGACGGGAGAGGAGCGCGGAAUUCCCGGUGUAGCGGUGAAAUGUGUAGAGAUCGGGAGGAAGGCCGGUGGCGAAGGCGGCGCUCUGGAACGUUUCUGACGCUGAGGCUCGAAAGCGUGGGGAGCAAACGGGAUUAGAUACCCUGGUAGUCCACGCCUUAAACUAUGAAUACUAAGUGUCGGCGGUUUACCGCCGGUGCCGCAGCUAACGCAUUAAGUAUUCCGCCUGGGAAGUAUGGCCGCAAGGUUG
rnacentral:rRNA from 1 species